rnacentral:lncRNA from 11 species
GGAGCCCCCUUUACCAGCCAAACCCCAUUCAGUCUCGUUCAGUCUGCACAAGCUCGCAUUCCGAGGCUCUCGUUUCGCACUGAGCGAAAAGGGAAAAGGCGGGUUUCAGGGAGAAGAGGCGGUGACGUCACGGAGAAGGAGGGCCCCGCUUGAAUGCACCGCAGCCCGGACCCUUUCCUCCCGGUUGCGCCUCAGAGAGACAGGAGGCGUCCCCAUGAGUCGUGCCCAGGCCCCCGCGAAGGCAGAGUCCAUUCCUUAUCACCCUGAGUCUCCCUCUGCUCCUCCCUCCCGCCCCCGAUUGUCGAAAAUGGGACCAGAAAUGCGGGCAAAACCAGGCGUGGAGCGUGGGGAGCAAAAGAAUGGCAAGUGGGGGGAGUUUACAGGGAAAGGGAACCACAAGAAGGGAGGGGAAUAACCAUAACUACACGGAACUGGGAGUGCCUCACUUUAGAUCUGGGAGUCGCUCUCCUCAGAAGAGCGGCCGUGGUGUCCAAAGCCCGGGCGGCGGGCGGGGCGUCUCCUACCUGGAAGAGGCGAAGGAUGUUGGCGACCAUGAUGGAGACGGAGCUCCCGGCGGCGCCGACCACGCCGAGCACCUUCUCGGGCCGGACGAAGACGGGCGGCUCGCCGUUGGUGCAGCGCACGUCGGAGGUGUCCUUCUGGAUGAGGGCCUGGACGAAGUGAAGUAACCGCCCCCCCGUCCGUCUUGCCGCCGGAGGACAAGAAGGCAAAAAGGAGCGUCGGGAGGGAAGCGCCUCUAGGAUCAGCACCACGGACAGCACCACGGGCACGACGUCGCCGCAGCAGAUCAGCACCAUGGACAGCACCAUGUAUACCUAGCAUCCCCUGACAAGCUGCCCCGCUCUUCUCUUGUUCUCCCCAGGUUUUGGCUAUUGUUUCACUGCUUUCUCCUCAUCCCUUCAUCGAAAUAAAAGUAACGUUUUCUUCUGCCU